rnacentral:tRNA from 1 species
GGGCCCAUAACUCAGUCGGUUAGAGUGGCGGACUCAUAAUCCGUUUGUCCUAGGUUCGAGUCCUAGUGGGCCCA